rnacentral:lncRNA from 1 species
CACAAUCUGAAAAGAUUAUUAAAACUGUUCUAAAACAAACUCAAGAAAAAAGAAUUUAUUAACUCAUAAGAGAAGUUGAAUAAUAAUGAUUUGAUUGUAUUGUAUACAAUGCAAAGAUCUAGGUUAGUUAAAUAAAUCUAAAUAAAACUCUUAAGUAUACUAGAACAAAGAAAGGAGAUUUGGCUUUGGUUUUCCUUCAUUGCCGUGGCUCACACAAGAAAAAUUGGGAAGGUUUUCUUUGUGAUUUUUGUUGGAUUUUUUUAAUAAGCAAUGACAAAUAUGAAAAAACCCACUUGUUAGAUUGAUAAAUUGAUAAAAUUUUAGUGUAGAAACAUGUUGAAUAUUAAGUUAAAAAACCAUGAAAUAUUAGUUGUUGAAUUUAGGUUUUAUGUUAUACAUGUUAGAAUUAAAGUGGGUGAUGUUGGAAUACAAUUUAAACUUUGAGGCCUUUUUUAAAUAACUAAGGACUUAUUUAUAAUAAAUGAGAUUUAUGAGAUUUAUUAGUAAAUAAUGAUAGUUUGAGGUCUUUAGAGAAUAGUUAUAAAUUCGAAUUUAGAUUCAGACCGGUAAAUAGUAAAAUAUGAGAAUUUUAGAUAAUAUGAUUCAAAGGGACUAAAGUGAAAAGUUUGAAUAAUAUAUUUAAUGAUGAGAAAUUAAUAUUGUUUCCACACUCGUGUCAUUGAACAAGGUUGAAAACGAGGUCAAAAUGUCAAGGAACAAGAUAAAGAUGAGAACAAACGAUGAGCAAAUAAUUCGUUUUGUGCUAACAUAAUUUUCCUUUAUGUCAUUAAAUGAUUAGUAUUUUAGAUUGUGAAUACAUUGAUAUUAAAUGUAACAGCUUGGUUUUAGUUAAACCGGAACAGUGGUUUUGGAACCACUAAUCCGAGGUUAAAAAAUUAGUUUAAUAAUAUUUUUGAUGUUUACAGCAUGUGAUUAUAUAUGUGUGAAAGUUUCGUGAUUUAAUUUUAUAGUUUCGUGACUUAAUUUUAUCAUUUAAUAUCUCAAUUUGAGAAAAAGGACUUAAUCGUGUAAAAUGCAAAAGUGGCAUUCUUUAUGUUAAAAGUGUUUAAUUGCUAUGAUUUAUUAAACCAAAGGUCCUUAUGAUGAUAUUAGACCAUUGGUUGUCUAAGUGGACAUUUAUGGACAACCAUUAUAUGAUUUGCAUGUUAUAUCAUUAAGGGUAAUUAAGUAAUUUGGUAUUUAAGUUAAUAAAAUUAAAACAAAACAAAUGAAAUUCAUUUUGUUCAUCUUAGUUGACCAAAUUUGAAGAAGGAGAAGCCAUUAAAAUACCUUGAACAUUCAACCAUUGCAUGAUUCAUUAGUAAGUUCGUUUUUACUCGGUUUUUGAUGAUUUUUACGUUUUUAAGAUAAUUGCUUCGUAUACUAGCUAACCCGUGUCUUAAUUUUCAAAAUUUUUGAUGAUUUUGUGAAAUGCCAUUGAUGAAUAUUCAAGAUUUUUGUUGUUUGAUGAUGGAAAAUAAAUAUUUGAUGUUAGAUUAUCAUGUUUUAUUAAGUGAUUUUUGAUAAAAAUGCUUAUUAAGGAUUAAAUUGUGAAAUUCAUAAAUUGAGGGGCUAAAAUGUGAUAUCAAUAGAAUUUAUGGAUUGCGAUGGACAUAAGGAAGAUUUGGACAAGCAUGAGUAUAUUGAAAUUUUUUUUUAUUUUGAAAUAGGGACUAAAUUAUAAAAAUGUAAAAUUUUGGGGGCAAAAGUGUAAACGUGCCCAAAUGUGUGUUUUGGAUUAAAUUGAAUAAAGUUGUGAUUGAAUAAUCUGAAUUUGAUAUUAUAUAGAUCAAGAAAAGCAGAAAUUAGAGUUAGAUUGGGGAAAGUCGAAAGUUAUCGAGUAAUUGAUCUGAUUCGCCAAUUCCGAAUACGAGGUAAGUUCGUAAGUAAAUAAAUAUUUUUAAAAUUUAAAUAUAAAUGUUAUAUACAUUGUUGAAAUUAAUUCGUACAUGGUUAUAUAUUGUCGAUAUUGAAUUGUUUAUGCAUAUAGGAUGCCGAAUUGGAUUUGUAUAUGAUUAUAUAUUGCCGAACUUGAUUCAUGAAUGGUUAUACCUUGCUGAAUUGUUUGAUAUAUGGAUAUAAGUUGUCGAAUUGAUUUGUAUAUGUUGUACCUUGCUGAAAUUAAUUUGUACAUGGUUAUAUAUUGUCGAUAUUGAAUUGUUUAUGAAUAUAGGAUGUCGAAUUGGAUUUGUAUAUGAUUAUAUAUUGCCGAACUUGAUUCGUGAAUUGUUAUACCUUGCCGAAUUGUUUGGUAUAUGGAUAUAAGUUGUCGAAUUGAUUCGUAUAUGUUGUACCUUGCUGAAAUUAAUUUGUACAUGGUUAUAUAUUGUCGAUAUUGAAUUGUUUAUGAAUAUAGGAUGCCGAAUUGGAUUUGUAUAUGAUUAUAUAUUGCCGAACUUGAUUCGUGAAUGGUUAUACCUUGCCGAAUUGUUUGGUAUAUGGAUGUAAGUUGUCGAAUUGAUUCGUAUAUGUUGUACCUUGCUGAAAUUAAUUUGUACAUGGUUAUAUAUUGUUGAUAUUGAAUUGUUUAUGAAUAUAGGAUGCCGAAUUGGAUUUGUAUAUGAUUAUAUAUUGUCGAACUUGAUUCGUGUAUGGUUAUACAUUGCCAAAUUGUUUGGUAUAU